GAUUGCUAAACUCCCAUUUUAUGGGACCCACCACCUCAAGUAUGCCUCAGCGGCCCCAUGUAUAAAAUUCCCUUUCCCGUUCCUUAUUCAAAAGAGAAAUCCUUGACAAAGUCAACACGAACACGGUUUCACAAUUCAAUCCCCAUAAACGAACGAUUGCCAUUGCAUAAAUCGAUGUAGAAGAUUGCUAAACUCCCAUUUUAUGGGACCCACCACCUCAAGUAUGCCUCAGCGGCCCCAUGUAUAAAAUUACCUUUCCCGUUUCUUAUUCAAAAGAGAAAUCCUUGACAAAGUCAACACGAACACGGUUUCACAAUUCAAUCCCCAUAAACGAACGACCUUUUUCACUGAUAUUGAGGAAUUUGUGAGAGAAUGGACGGUGGAGAUUCGUCGGGAAAAGGG
rnacentral:lncRNA from 1 species